rnacentral:rRNA from 1 species
AUUGAACGCUGGCGGCAUGCUUUACACAUGCAAGUCGAACGGGCUUGGGGGCUUGCUCCCAAGUUAGUGGCGAACGGGUGAGUAAUACAUCGGAACGUACCGUGUAGUGGGGGAUAACGUAGCGAAAGUUACGCUAAUACCGCAUACGAUCUACGGAUGAAAGCAGGGGACCUUCGGGCCUUGUGCUAUACGAGCGGCCGAUGUCUGAUUAGCUAGUUGGUGAGGUAAAGGCUCACCAAGGCGACGAUCAGUAGCGGGUCUGAGAGGAUGAUCCGCCACACUGGGACUGAGACACGGCCCAGACUCCUACGGGAGGCAGCAGUGGGGAAUUUUGGACAAUGGGCGAAAGCCUGAUCCAGCCAUGCCGCGUGAGUGAAGAAGGCCUGG